rnacentral:rRNA from 1 species
CAGAUUGAACGCUGGCGGCAUGCCUUACACAUGCAAGUCGAACGGCAGCAUGAUCUAGCUUGCUAGAUUGAUGGCGAGUGGCGAACGGGUGAGUAAUACAUCGGAACGUGCCCUGUAGUGGGGGAUAACUAGUCGAAAGAUUAGCUAAUACCGCAUACGACCUGAGGGUGAAAGUGGGGGACCGCAAGGCCUCAUGCUAUAGGAGCGGCCGAUGUCUGAUUAGCUAGUUGGUGGGGUAAAGGCCCACCAAGGCGACGAUCAGUAGCUGGUCUGAGAGGACGAUCAGCCACACUGGGACUGAGACACGGCCCAGACUCCUACGGGAGGCAGCAGAAGGG